ensembl:lncRNA
AAAUAAAUAAAUAAUGGCGGUCUGCUGCGUACAUUUAGUCUUGGAUGCAGAAUAUGUUCUUUUUAGUUGUCUUUUAGUAAGCUAUGUGUUCUUUUAUGCUCCUAAAAAGGCCUUUUUAUUUAACUAUUGCAUCAUUUGUGCAGCACCUUCUUCAUCUGACAUCAGCUGGAACCACCGAUUAAAACAUGUGAUUCAGCUGAUUCGUCUCCUGCACACGAUGUCACUUUGGACUGAAGACGAAUCAGAUUUGCAUAUAUUAGAUUAUUCAAUGUGUGUGUUAUUGCAGCUGUGUGCACGCAUGCAUGCAGGGGGAGGGGGGGGUACGCUCGGGGUCCUGCAUGGACAGCUCACGAUGACCCCUGACCCCUGAGGCACCAUGGGGACAUUUAUAGCAAUCCGACGCCAUUUAAAGAUGCUCCAGCUUUACAUUAUUUUUAGAUCUGCUGGUGGUGAAGCGUGAAUCAUGUUAUGACUCUUCUCUCUCUUCCCCCUCCCAAAAAAAAUCACAGCUUUAGCCCCGCCUCCCGCACCGCUGACCACCAGUAGGAACUCAUCUCCCGCUCAAUCCCCGACCAAUCACAGCAGCCCUCCAGGUACAACGUCUAACAAUCGAUGAUUGUGAUAAAGGAUGAAGUGUUCCUUCCUGAGGAUUGCAUGGAUGGUGGCGCAUGAAGUAGACGCGGUGCGCCCGUAACCGCAGGGUUGGUGGUUUGAACCCUGUGAAGUGUCCCUGAGCAAGACACCUAACCUCUAUUAUUGUUCCCCGGGCAAAAUGUAAAAACCGUAGGUUAAAAAAUGCAAUGUAAGUUGCUUGGGAUUAAAGCGUCCGCUGAGUGACCUGUGAUGUAAUGUGAUGAUGGUGAUAAACUGAAGGAUGAAGAGUUCCUUUAUGAGACGAUGUUGUGAGAUAAGGAAUGAAACUAAGAUCCCAGUAAUCGUUUUAUUAUAUCUAUAUUUCCAGUACGAUGCACCCAGAUGUUCCAGAUGCUCGCUCCUUGUUGCUGUCCGGGUCCAUUUCGUCACGCGUCGUUUAAAACUUGAUGUUAAAACCUCACUGGAGGGGUUCAUGUGUCAAAAGCAACAUUGUAAAGCAGAUAUACUGUAUUAUAGCAGAUAACUCUGGUGUCUCUGAGGUGUAGUGCGAUGUGUAGACAAGAACUCCAUUAACCCCCCCUCCCCCCCUCCCUCCCCGUGCUCAGAGAAGGAGGAGGUGCUGCGGGACAAGGAGCGCCGCGCCCAGCAGCAGCUGGACCGCUGCGCCGAGGAGCGAGGGAGGAAGAUGGAGGUGCAGAAGAGGAAGGAGCAGCAGCGCCGGGCGGCCGCCGGCGAGAAGAGGCGCCAGCAGCAGGAGGCCGAGAAGGUCAGAGGCCGCGGCGCGUUAACGUAGUGAUGUCACAGCUGUGCUUAAUGUUCAGAAUGCCGAGGACCAAAAUUACUGCAGAUCUACAAAAUGAAGUAAACAAGCUCAAAGAUCGAACCAGUGACUUCAUGAGAUUAAUACAAACAAAAAUAUGGAAACUUGAAAAAAAAAAAAACUAAUCCCACCAAAAUGUUUACAUGCUGAAUUUGUAAUAAAUCAUAGUUCCAUUAAUCAUUUGUAGGGUUUGCUGCCACGUGAUCACCAUGACGAUCAUAACAAUUUAUUACACAUGUUUUCAGGUGUCAAUACACAGAAUAUAUAAAUAUAUCUGAUAUGAAACAUUAAUUAGUGCAUCACGACAACUUUCUCACGGCUCCUUCCUCUGAAAAAUAAUAAGUUUGCCUGUUUUUUCUGCCGCAGAAUGAAAUCCAAAGAGAGUGAAUUUAUAAUCACACAUCAGCCAGCGAACGAGGGCAUUGAUUCUUUCAUCCGUUUAUUGAUUUCUGGGCUAAAUCUUCAGGCGUCUCUUUCUGGUUGUGAUCUGUAAUUAUUGGAGCCACUUCAUGGUGUUUAUACGCUUUUUAUUUAUUGUUGCCAAAGAGCUCCAAUGAACAUGAUCAAUCACAGAUUAAAUACUCAUAGAAAUCUCCAGUUUAUUGCAGAGAAAAUGAGUAAACGGCGGCUCGUCAUCCUGCCCCCCCCCCCCCCGAUGACCCCCCCGCUCUCUUAUUUUAAUUCCCUGAACUGCUCUCUGUUUAUGCGGUUUGUGCGUGACUCUGCAUUCAGCAACCCCCCUUCACCAUGCUGAGGUUUCUAUCCUCUCUCUAUUUAUAUAUAUAUAUAUAUAUUUACACUAUAUAUAUAUAUAUAUAUAUAUAUAUAUAUAUAUAUAUAUAUAUGUAAAUAUGUAUGACAAACAUACAAGAUAAAGAAUGUGGUUGUAAAUCAAAAAGAAGAUCAUUUUUGUUAUCAAUCAAUAGGUCAGGAAAUGAUAAAUGUAAUAUAUAAACUCAAGUAAAUGAAUAUUUACUGUAUAAUAUAGUAAAAUUACAGGAGAGGACCUUUAAGCGAAGCUUACGUGUGAAUCAAUAAUAUUGUGUUGUUGUUGCGGCUUGUGCGUAUUUCAUAUUUUAUUACAAUGUGUGUGUGACAGAUAAAAAACCAUUGCAACCAUUAUCAAUAUCCAAUCCACCAGUCUGUGUGUGGGGGGGGGGGUCUCUGUCCCCUCCCCCCUCACUAAACUGCUCUGUGAGAUCGACUGAGAGGGGGAGAGGGCGGGGUGAGCGAUAUGUGAGGGAGGAGAGGAAGAAAGGGUGAGUCAGUGUUACCUAGAGACAGAGAGAGAGAGAUACAGAGCGAGAGAGAGAGGUAGAGAUACGGAGAGAGAGAGAGAGGUAGAGAUACGGAGAGAGAGAGAGAGAGGUAGAGAUACGGAGAGAGAGAGAGAGGUAGAGAUACGGAGAGAGAGAGAGAGAGAGGUAGAGAUACGGAGAGAGAGAGAGUGUCAUGCAUCGCUGAGUGACAGCCGAGCCAGCCAUCGAGCGUCCGGUUCUCCGCCGGCAGACACACGGGCAAACGCGAGGGUGAUGGAGGACGGAGGGGCGAGGCUGCUGCAUGCGGUAACCAUGGCGCAGCCGUCUCCGUGCGCGUCGCCGGGCACCCGUCGCCGUAGCGAUGGUUCGGUAAGAGAGUCUCUGUUCUUCCCCGUUUCCGAACGCAACGAGCAGGAGAGGCUGGAGGCCCUGGUCCGCCGGAGAGCAGGAGGCGCCGAGAGACGAGGAGGAGGAGGGGGAGGAGGA